rnacentral:sRNA from 1 species
GGAUGUGAGGGUGAUCUGGCUAUGACAUCAGUCACCCCAUUGAUUGGCAGGGUUGAUUCAACUGAUCUGGCUGGCUAGGCAGGUGUCCCCAUCCUCCCUCACUGCUCCAUGGGAAUCCCCCCCAAAGCUGUGAGCUUAGUUUAAGAAGAUGACCUUCUCUGAUAGAGGAGGAUCAUUCUUUAGUCAAGAGUAUACAAGUA